AAGUACUCUGAAAUCCACUGUUAUUGAAAAUAUUUUAAGCUGUGGAGUUUUAAAGUUUUCAGGUGAUUUUAGGGUGUUUGGGUAUGAUUUCUUAGUUAAAAAAAUUAAAACUCAAAUCCCAUAGUUUUAGGUGAUAUUCUAGAGUAGUUUAACAAAAGUCACUUAAAUCUCUGCAACUUAUUGAAAUCAUCUAAAACCCCA
rnacentral:lncRNA from 1 species